rnacentral:rRNA from 1 species
GAUAAACGCUGGCGGCGUGCCUAACACAUGCAAGUCGAGCGGUAAGGCCCUUUUAGGGUACACGAGCGGCGGACGGGUGAGUAACGCGUAGGAAUCUACCCCAGACUGAGGGAUAGCCCACCGAAAGGUGGAUUAAUACCGCAUACGGCCUUCGGAUUAAAGCUUCGGCGGUUUGGGAAGAGCCUGCGUAAGAUUAGCUAGUUGGUAAGGUAAUGGCUUACCAAGGCGACGAUCUUUAGCUGGUCUGAGAGGAUGAUCAGCCACACUGGAACUGAGACACGGUCCAGACUCCUACGGGAGGCAGCAGUGAGGAAUUUUCCACAAUGGGCGAAAGCCUGAUGGAGCAACGCCGCGUGCAGGAUGAAUGCCUUCGGGUUGUAAACUGCUUUUGUCUGUGACGAAUAUGACGGUAGCAGACGAAUAAGGAUCGGCUAACUCCGUGCCAGCCGCCGCGGUAA